rnacentral:rRNA from 1 species
GACGAACGCUGGCGGCGCGCUUAACACAUGCAAGUCGAACGGAGAAUGUGUAUUAAAUCUUUCGGGAUGAGAUAUGUAGUCUUAGUAGCGGACGGGUGAGUAACACGUGAGUAACCUGCCUUGUAGAGGGGAAUAACGGCUGGAAACGGUCGCUAAUACCGCAUGAUAUGUAUAUUUCGCAUGAUAUGUGCAUUAAAGAUAAUUAUCGCUAUGAGAUGGGCUCGCGACUGAUUAGAUAGUUGGUAAGGUAAUGGCUUACCAAGUCUACGAUCAGUAGCCGGACUGAGAGGUUGAACGGCCACAUUGGGACUGAGACACGGCCCAGACUCCUACGGGAGGCAGCAGUGGGGGAUAUUGCACAAUGGGGGGAACCCUGAUGCAGCGACGCCGCGUGAGGGAAGAAGGUUUUUGGAUUGUAAACCUCUGUCCUUGGGGACGAUAAUGACGGUACCCAAGGAGGAAGCUCCGGCUAACUACGUGCCAGCAGCCGCGGUAAUGCGUAGGGAGCGAGCGUUGUCCGGAAUUACUGGGUGUAAAGGGAGUGUAGGCGGGUUGACAAGUUGAAUGUGAAAUGUACGAGCUUAACUCGUACACUGCGUUCAAAACUGUGAAUCUUGAGUAAAGUAGAGGCAGACGGAAUUCCUAGUGUAGUGGUGAAAUGCGUAGAUAUUAGGAGGAACACCAGUGGCGAAAGCGGUCUGCUGGGCUUUUACUGACGCUGAGGCUCGAAAGCGUAGGGAGCAGACAGGAUUAGAUACCCUGGUAGUCUACGCUGUAAACGAUGAUUACUAGGUGUGGGUGUGUAAACAUCCGUGCCGGAGUUAACACAAUAAGUAAUCCACCUGGGGAGUACGACCGCAAGGUUAAAACUCAAAGGAAUUGACGGGGGCCCGCACAAGCAGUGGAGUAUGUGGUUUAAUUCGAUGCAACGCGAAGAACCUUACCAGGUUUUGACAUCCUACUAACGAAGUAGAGAUACAUUAGGUGCCCUUUUAUUAGGGAGAGUAGAGACAGGUGGUGCAUGGUUGUCGUCAGCUCGUGUCGUGAGAUGUUGGGUUAAGUCCCGCAACGAGCGCAACCCUUGCAAAUAGUUGCUACGCGAGAGCACUUUAUUAGGACUGCCGUUGACAAAACGGAGGAAGGUGGGGAUGACGUCAAAUCAUCAUGCCCCUUAUGACCUGGGCUACACACGUACUACAAUGGCCAUGAACAAAGGGAAGCAAUACUGUGAAGUGGAGCGAAUCCUAAAAAAUGGUCUCAGUUCGGAUUGUAGGCUGCAAUUCGCCUACAUGAAGUUGGAAUUGCUAGUAAUCGCGGAUCAGCAUGUCGCGGUGAAUACGUUCCCGGGCCUUGUACACACCGCCCGUCACACCAUGAGAGUUAGCAACACCCGAAGUCAGCAGUUUAACCGUA